AAAUGAAUAGACGGGGACCCGCACAAGCGGUGGAGCAUGUGGUUUAAUUCGAAGCAACGCGAAGAACCUUACCAAGGCUUGACAUCCCCCUGACAACCGUAGAAAUACGGUCUUGCUUCGGCACAGGGGAGACAGGUGGUGCAUGGUUGUCGUCAGCUCGUGUCGUGAGAUGUUGGGUUAAGUCCCGCAACGAGCGCAACCCUUGCCUUCAGUUGCCAGCAUUCAGUUGGGUACUUUGAAGGGACUGCCGCGAUCAUAACGCGGAGGAAGGUGGGGACGAUGUCAAAUCAUCAUGCCCCUUAUGUCUUGGGCAACACACGUGCUACAAUGGCUCAUACAAAGUGACGCAAUACCGCGAGGUGGAGCAAACCACAAAAAUGAGUCUCAGUUCGGAUUGCAGGCUGCAACCCGCCUGCAUGAAGUUGGAAUCGCUAGUAAUCGCAAAUCAGCAUGUUGCGGUGAAUACGUUCCCGGGUCUUGUACACACCGCCCGU
rnacentral:rRNA from 1 species